UACGUAGGGGGCAAGCGUUGUCCGGAUUUAUUGGGCGUAAAGAGCGUGUAGGCGGCCAGGGAGGUCCGUUGUGAAAACUCGAGGCUCAACCUCGAGACGCCGAUGGAAACCCCCUGGCUAGAGUCCGGAAGAGGAGAAUGGAAUUCCUGGUGUAGCGGUGAAAUGCGCAGAUAUCAGGAAGAACACCCGUGGCUAAGGCGGUUCUCUAGUACGGUACUGACGCUGGAGACGCGAAAGCGUGGGGAGCGAACAGG
rnacentral:rRNA from 1 species